CCUCUCCGCUGAUGACCUGCACUGGGCUCUGAGUCUGGAUGGAGACAGACGUGCGUCUCCGGCCCGACAAGCCGGAGAGUCUGAGGAGAAA
ensembl:snoRNA